rnacentral:rRNA from 1 species
AGGCAAUAACAGGUCUGUGAUGCCCUUAGAUGUUUUGGGCCGCACGCGCGCUACACUGAUCAAGUCAACGAGUUUACAACCUUGGCCGGAAGGUCUGGGUAAUCUUUUGAAACUUGAUCGUGCUGGGGAUAGUCCAUUGCAAUUAUUGGUCUUCAACGAGGAAUUCCUAGUAAGCGUGAGUCAUCAGCUGGCGUUGAUUACGUCCCUGCCCUUUGUACACACCGCCGGUCGUUACUANGGAUUGAAUGGUUUAGUGAGGCUUUGGGAUUGGAC